rnacentral:rRNA from 1 species
UACGGAGGAUGCGAGCGUUAUCCGGAUUUAUUGGGUUUAAAGGGUGCGCAGGCGGGCCGGAAAGUCAGCGGUAAAAUUGCGGUGCUCAACGCCGUAUAGCCGUUGAAACUGCCGGUCUUGAGUGGACGAGAAGUAUGCGGAAUGCGUGGUGUAGCGGUGAAAUGCAUAGAUAUCACGCAGAACUCCGAUUGCGAAGGCAGCAUACCGGCGUCCAACUGACGCUCAUGCACGAAAGCGUGGGGAUCGAACAGG